CGCGGAGUCCCUCCGUCCUGCCUGAGUUUCUCCCCGGGGGCGGGGGGGGGGGUGGCUUCCGGCCUUGGCCCCACCCUUAGGCCUGGGCCGCCGGGGCCAGGGACACACACGCGCACACACACGCCCCAAGAGCUGCUCCUCACACACACACACACACACACACCAGGCCAGGGACACGGACGCAUGCACACACACACCCUGACACACACACCCUGACACACACAUCCUGACACACACCAGGGCCAGGGAUACGUGUGCACACGCACACACACACUGACACACACACCCAGAGCUGCUCCUCACAUCCAUCUCGGGAGGGCAGACCCACUGAGCUGUGCCAAGAAGGGAGUCUGUUCAAGGUGGGGCUCACUGGGUGACCUGCGGACCCUCAUGACCCAGAACCAAAAGCUCCCCUGACACUGUCGGCUGCCAUGAGAUUCAGUGAGCGUCGGCCCUUCAGAUUUUUCAGUGGCUGCCUCCUUCCUUGAGUAUGGAUCUCGGUGGGCAGAGCUCGUACCUGGGAGGUUCACUGCUUCUGGAGCGCCUGUAGCAACCUCGGGCGCAGGGUAGAUGCUCCGCCAGCCUUUGGACCAUGAGGUUCCCAAACCUGUGACGUGAAGACAGUGAGAGCGCCUGCCUCCAGAGGCCUGGGAAGUCGCAAGUGAGUCGCCGU
ensembl:lncRNA